rnacentral:rRNA from 1 species
UACGUAGGGACCAAGCGUUGUUCGGAUUUACUGGGCGUAAAGGGCGCGUAGGCGGCGUGGUAAGUCACUUGUGAAAUCUCUGAGCUUAACUCAGAACGGCCAAGUGAUACUGCUGUGCUAGAGUGCAGAAGGGGCAAUCGGAAUUCUUGGUGUAGCGGUGAAAUGCGUAGAGAUCCGGAGGAACCCCAGAGGCGAAGGCGGCGCCCUGGCUCGCAACUGACGCUCAGACACGACAGCAUGGGGAGCGAACGGG